rnacentral:tRNA from 1 species
GGUUAUAUAGCUCAGUGGUAGAUCGUGUGCUUAGCAUGCAUGAGGCCCUGGGCUCAAUCCCCAAUAUCCCCU